rnacentral:rRNA from 1 species
ACGGGUGAGUAACACGUAUCCAACCUGCCGUCUACUCUUGGCCAGCCUUCUGAAAGGAAGAUUAAUCCAGGAUGGCAUCAUGAGUUCACAUGUCCGCAUGAUUAAAGGUAUUUUCCGGUAGACGAUGGGGAUGCGUUCCAUUAGAUAGUUGGUGAGGUAACGGCUCACCAAACCUUCGAUGGAUAGGGGUUCUGAGAGGAAGGUCCCCCACAUUGGAACUGAGACACGGUCCAA